UGGGGAAUAUUGCACAAUGGGGGAAACCCUGAUGCAGCGACGCCGCGUGAACGAAGAAGGUAUUCGUAUCGUAAAGUUCUGUCCUAUGGGAAGAUAAUGACAGUACCAUAGAAGAAAGCUCCGGCUAACUACGUGCCAGCAGCCGCGGUAAUACGUAGGGCGCGAGCGUUGUCCGGAAUUAUUGGGCGUAAAGGGCUUGUAGGUGGCUGGUUGCGUCUGUCGUGAAAGCUCAUGGCUUAACUGUGGGUUUGCGGUGGGUACGGGCUGGCUUGAGUGCAGUAGGGGAGGCUGGAAUUCCUGGUGUAGCGGUGGAAUGCGCAGAUAUCAGGAGGAAUACCGGUGGCGAAGGCGGGUCUCUGGGCUGUUACUGACACUGAGGAGCGAAAGCAUGGGGAGCGAACAGG
rnacentral:rRNA from 1 species